GAAAUGCUGCAGAGACCCAGCCGGAAACAGUGCUGGCCAGCUCACGCCUGACCCACCCUUAUUCUAAGCAUAGGGUCUGCCUCUGAAGAGCUAAAGACUUCCUGAAAUUUAAAAAUUAGUGCUUUUAUUUGCUUGUCCUGCUAAGACCGUAGGCAAAGGCCAUCCUCCUCCCAUUGACAGUUUAGAGUGGGCAGAAACAACCACGGUUACCCUAGAAGUAAAUCCAGAGCUGCGGGACGCUGGAGGACAAAACCAACCUUCCAGGGAAGCCGAGGAGAAGUCAUGCCUUCAAAAGAUGAAGAAACUGACAUCUGGAGAAGUUGAAGUAAUUUGCACAAAGAUUCACUUGGCUAACGGAGUUUUGCUCUGUCACCCAGGCUGGAGUGCAAUGGCCCGAUCUCGCCUCACUGCAACCUCCACCUCCCGAGUUCAAGAGAUUCUCCUGCCUCAGCCUCCCAGGGGCUGGGAAGUUCAAGAUCCAGGCCUCAGAAGAUUUGGGGUUUGGUGAGGGCCAUCUUCUCACUGUAGCCUUACAUGGUGGAAGAGGUAAGGCAGCUCUCUGGAACCUCUUUUAUAAGGGCACUAAUCCCUUUCAUGAGAACUCAGCCCUUAUGAACUCAUCGCCUCCUAAAUUCUCUACCUCCUAACACCAUCACUUUGACAAUCAGAUUUCAACAUAUGAAUUUGUGGGAGUCACCAGCAUUGAGACUAUAGCAACCCCUUAUUAGAAAUAAUUCAUGAGGAACUGAAACUGUUAGGAAACCACUGUGUAAAUGCUGGGAAACAAAGUCAGAUAAAUAAUGCUGAUAAUUACCUGACUGCUUUUGGAACUGUCCUUUUUUGUGAACAUGAGACUACAUCAUUGUCAGUUGAUUGCAGAAGAACCACUAUGAUAUUAUAAUGGGGUCCUGACUCCAUGACUGUGUAAUUCAUGGCUUUCUAACGGUUUAUUAUUGACCUAACUUUGCAGCUCCCCUAGAUCCCCUAACUCCACCAUCUUGGGUUGCAACCAAUGACCUGUUAUUGCAAAACAGGUAAUCUCACUUAGAUAAGUAUUAAUCAGAGGGGCUUGACUUCCAGAGUUCAUUUCAAUGGUUUUCAACUCAUUUGUAGAGUUUAACAUCAGUAGCCCUUUCUCUUCCAUAGGAGGGAGAUGAACCAUCCUGUUUGUUCAAUAAUCAGUGAGAGCGUGGCUUUAACGUCUCUUCCACUCCUUUCUAGUUCAGGUCUUUCUUAACUUGAUGGAGAUAGCUUGGGCCAGGGAGGGCAGAGUGAAGAUGAGAUGGCAAAAAAAAAAAAGUUUUGAUCAGCAGCAUUGACUCUGUGCUAAAUACUGUGCUCAGCUCUUUGGAUGUUAUUUCAUUGAAAUGGAAAGAACACUGUAAAGUUGUCUUGUGAGGCACACUUUCCUGUUGAGGAAAUAAAAGCAUUAAAUAACUUGCCCCCAAAUACAAAGCUAUUAGGAUUGAAACAAAGACUUGAGCCCGGGAUCUAUCUAAUUUCAAGGUCCUUGUUUUUUUUCUACUACAUUUCUCUUUGAGAUACAGUUACUCAAAGGUGUCCAAACUUCAGUUAAUGUCAACCUCUGCCUCACUCUGGUCCUGGUGCCUUUCCCAUGUUCCUGAGAAGAUCAUGUGGCACACUUCUCUAAACGUCUCUGUGCCAUAUCUCUUGGGAUCAAAAGGCCAUUCCAAUAAUUCUUCUGCAUUUCUUAAUGUAUGCUCAGAUGGCCCUGGUUUGCAUUUAGAGAAAGGAAGCUAAGACCUUGGUGAUAACUAAAUAUUUAUAUCUAUUUUUUGAUUAUGUGCUUGUAUUUAAUUAAGUGGGUGCCUACUGUUGUGAAAAUACUUUUGAAUACAAUUCUGAAGUUGUGCCAGGGAACUCUGACAAUGGGUAUGCUGGGAGCUGUCUGAUUUCCUUGUCCUAGACAACUCAUACAAUGCAGUAGAAAAAGAAUUCUUUAUUCCCACUGCCUUUCCUUAGCCCUUCUUCAGAGCAGGGGAAGUGUGACUGUAGCUUUAAAUAGUUUAAAUAGUCCUUCAAAUACGGCAAAUAAAACAGUAUCAAUGAAAAAGAAG
ensembl:lncRNA LINC01504 long intergenic non-protein coding RNA 1504